AAGGAAUAUUGGUCAAUGGACGCAAGUCUGAACCAGCCAUGCCGCGUGAAGGAUGAAGGUCCUCUGGAUUGUAAACUUCUUUUAUCUGGGACGAAAACGGGAUUUUUAUCUCAAUUGACGGUACCAGAGGAAUAAGCACCGGCUAACUACGUGCCAGCAGCCGCGGUAAUACGUAGGGUGCAAGCGUUAAUCGGAAUUACUAAGCGUAAAGCGUGCGCAGGCGGUUUUGUAAGACAGAGGUGAAAUCCCCGGGCUCAACCUGGGAACUGCCUUUGUGACUGCAAGGCUGGAGUGCGGCAGAGGGGGAUGGAAUUCCGCGUGUAGCAGUGAAAUGCGUAGAUAUGCGGAGGAACACCGAUGGCGAAGGCAAUCCCCUGGGCCUGCACUGACGCUCAUGCACGAAAGCGUGGGGAGCAAACA
rnacentral:rRNA from 1 species